UCGUAACAAGGUUUCCGUAGGUGAACCUGCGGAAGGAUCAUUAUCGAGUUUUGAACGGGUUGUCUGCUGGCUCGCAAGGGCAUGUGCACGCCUGUCUCAUCCACUCUCAACUUCUGUGCACUUUUCAUAGGCCGGCUUGUGGGUGCGUUCGCGCACUUGUAGGUGUCGGGCUUAUGCUUUAUUACAAACGAUUCAGUUUUAGAAUGUCAUACUUUGCUAUAACGCAAUUUAUAUACAACUUUCAGCAACGGAUCUCUUGGCUCUCGCAUCGAUGAAGAACGCAGCGAAAUGCGAUAAGUAAUGUGAAUUGCAGAAUUCAGUGAAUCAUCGAAUCUUUGAACGCACCUUGCGCUCCUUGGUAUUCCGAGGAGCAUGCCUGUUUGAGUCUCAUGGAAUUCUCAACCUUCAGCUUUAUUGAUGAAGGCUUGGACUUGGAGGUCGUGCCGGCUCUCGUAGUCGGCUCCUCUGAAAUGCAUUAGUGCGAACGUUACCAGCCGCUUCAGCGUGAUAAUUAUCUGCGUUGCUGUGGAGGGUAUUCUAGUGUUCACGCUUCUAACCGUCUUCGGACAAAUUUCUGAACUCUGAGCUCAAAUCAGGUAGGACUACCCGCUGAACUUAAGCAUAUCAAUAAGCGGAGGA
rnacentral:misc_RNA from 1 species